GGACUCACCAAAUCACUAAGUUGCCCAGUAUGGACUUGGAUUUGUGAUCCUUCUGCUUCAGCCUCUGAGACAGCUGGGAUUCUGUGCAGGGGCCACGACAUACUUUUGCUUUUCUCCGUUACAGCAUUGUUGUUCACGUGGUCUGCUGUUAACCGAAGCAUCGCGUCUGCAGAAGACAGCGAAGGGAAACCCGAAAAUCUGCCCCAGCUACAGUGCAGGGUAAAUGCCCAGCAGGCAGGCGCUGCAGGAAGCAACGUGAGUUUUCUCAUCUGUAAAACUGAAAUAAUGACCCAGUCUGUCUAAAAUGGAACCGGAGGAAGAUGAUAUGAGACCUACGAUUGUACACCGGUUUCUUCAUGCAGAAUAUUAUAACUGCUCUCGACCUCAGCCCUGUGUAGGAAUGACCUUAUUAAAUAAACCACUGAUAUGCUGAACUUGCUUGCAGAAAAAUAAAAAAUAAAAAACAUGAUUUGUACCCAAU
rnacentral:lncRNA from 1 species